CAGCAGCCACGGUAAUACGAAGGGUGCAAGCGUUACUCGGAAUUACUGGGCGUAAAGCGUGCGUAGGUGGUGGUUUAAGUCCGUUGUGAAAGCCCUGGGCUCAACCUGGGAAUUGCAGUGGAUACUGGGUCACUAGAGUGUGGUAGAGGAUAGUGGAAUUUCCGGUGUAGCAGUGAAAUGCGUAGAGAUCGGAAGGAACAUCUGUGGCGAAGGCGACCAUCUGGGCCAACACUGACACUGAGGCACGAAAGCGUGGGGAGCAAACAGGAUUAGAUACCCCUGUAGUCCCUGUCUGUUAUAC
rnacentral:rRNA from 1 species